rnacentral:lncRNA from 1 species
GGAGUCGAAUUCUCGCGACUCCAGGCUUCAUUCGUGCACAACACUACUGUAUAAGCGUAUUACGUAAUUGUAGACGAGAGGCUACCAUAUUUGUUUACUUUCUAACGUAUGAUCUUCACGGUAUAACAAUAACUGGAUGAAAAUAUAUAUAUCGAUGCUUCGCUAAAUCUAGAAAACGAAAUAUAAGAUAUGCAGAAAAGUAAAAUAACAUUAUCUAUUAAUUGCAAAUGCUUCCGUUACGAGAUGUAUCCCGAAUAUCCUGGCAUAUGUUGUUGGAACUGUAUCUACAGUUUCAUAAUCAAAGUUGCGCUUGGAAUAUUCAUAUUAUGCGGAUCGCAAGGUAUACUUACGACGAUUGUGUUCUCCCAAGAAAUAUAUGACUGUGCUUAUUUGCCUGAACAGCAUCUCAAGUCCUUGUUGCCUAGAGACCUUCCAU